UACGUAGGCGGACGCGCAGGCGUUUUGUGAAAGCCCUCGGCUCAACCGAGGAAUUGCUUGACGAACCGCGUGUCUUGAGGCAAGUAGGGGCUGUCGGAACGAUAGGUGGAGUGGUGAAAUGCGUUGAUAUCUAUCGGAACGCCGAAGGAGAAAUCAGGCAGCUGGGCUUGUCCUGACGCUGAGGUACGAAAGCGUGGGGAGCGAACAGGAUUAGAUACCCUGGUAGUCC
rnacentral:rRNA from 1 species